CUGGGAACCAAAAUUUCUCUUUUCAGAUCUACAUCUCAGGCCACUUUCAGCUUAGGUUGCUCCUUGUUGUAUCUAUCAUUGAAUACAGACAGAAUCACUGAAUGUGGCAGCUUCAAGGAACCAGAGAGAUUAGGAAAUCAUAAAGAAUAAGAAAGAUGAUUUCUUGAUGCAGAAUGAAGAGACAUCAAUCAAAUAUUGCCAGACUAAACUUGAUCAGCUUUCAAAGACACUAAUAAAAAGUAUCCCAGCAGGAACUUUCUCUGUUCCUGGAGGUCAUGAACUCUACAGGAAAGCAAAGGAAAUUAUUGAAAAGGAAUAUCACCAAGUGCCCAUGAAAGGAGUGAAGGGAAAUGAGUUCCUCCAGAGAUUUCUGCAGUCCCAGGUGGCAAUAGAGAAAUCCUGCAGGCAGAUAAAGCCCUCACUGAUGGGGAGAAGCCCAUAGCAGGAGCUUCCUUCCUUUCUGUGGAACAACCCCGCUGUGUCUGGAAACAGCAAAGGGAACUGUGAUUGGAUGCCAGACAGACAGAGCCUUUUCUCUCACAUUCUGAAGUGUGGUCUUGAUGAGGAGUGGACCAGGAAUGAGAGAUCUGAUAAGGAACAGUAGCUGCUGAAACAGAAACUGCAGGAGCAGCAGCAGCAGGUGGAGGCUCAGAAGAGAAGUCUCCAGAAACACAUAGUCCAUAUGAUGGAGAAGCUGGUGGGGGAAAGAGAAAACCUGCUGAGAGAGCCAAACAAGAUAUUGGAGCAUCAGCUGAAGGUGAAUCAGGCUGUGGCAGUAGUAGAGCUUGAUAGCUUUGCCCUGGUACCUCAGGAAGGGAUGGGUGAAGGUUACAGCAAGAUCAUGCAGAGAUCAGAAGUGCAUCUACUGCUUGUGAUUUAUUAAAACCCUGAAGCCUUUGAAUCCUUCCAAAACCUUUAAAUUCGGCUCUGUAAGUAGACUUUGGAGUGUUCACGAUGAGUAUGCCCCCCCUACUCCAAGCCCUCAGAGAAUAUAAAUAGGGUUGAAUUGCCACUUAGAG